rnacentral:rRNA from 1 species
ACGUGUGUGGCGGGGUGCUAUACAUGCAAGUCGAACGCGUUGGCCCAAUUGAUUGAUGGUGCUUGCACCUGAUUGAUUUUGGUCGCCAACGAGUGGCGGACGGGUGAGUAACACGUAGGUAACCUGCCCAGAAGCGGGGGACAACAUUUGGAAACAGAUGCUAAUACCGCAUAACAGCGUUGUUCGCAUGAACAACGCUUAAAAGAUGGCUUCUCGCUAUCACUUCUGGAUGGACCUGCGGUGCAUUAGCUUGUUGGUGGGGUAACGGCCUACCAAGGCGAUGAUGCAUAGCCGAGUUGAGAGACUGAUCGGCCACAAUGGGACUGAGACACGGCCCAUACUCCUACGGGAGGCAGCAGUAGGGAAUCUUCCACAAUGGGCGCAAGCCUGAUGGAGCAACACCGCGUGAGUGAAGAAGGGUUUCGGCUCGUAAAGCUCUGUUGUUAAAGAAGAACACGUAUGAGAGUAACUGUUCAUACGUUGACGGUAUUUAACCAGAAAGUCACGGCUAACUACGUGCCAGCAGCCGCGGUAAUACGUAGGUGGCAAGCGUUAUCCGGAUUUAUUGGGCGUAAAGAGAGUGCAGGCGGUUUUCUAAGUCUGAUGUGAAAGCCUUCGGCUUAACCGGAGAAGUGCAUCGGAAACUGGAUAACUUGAGUGCAGAAGAGGGUAGUGGAACUCCAUGUGUAGCGGUGGAAUGCGUAGAUAUAUGGAAGAACACCAGUGGCGAAGGCGGCUACCUGGUCUGCAACUGACGCUGAGACUCGAAAGCAUGGGUAGCGAACAGGAUUAGAUACCCUGGUAGUCCAUGCCGUAAACGAUGAGUGCUAGGUGUUGGAGGGUUUCCGCCCUUCAGUGCCGGAGCUAACGCAUUAAGCACUCCGCCUGGGGAGUACGACCGCAAGGUUGAAACUCAAAGGAAUUGACGGGGGCCCGCACAAGCGGUGGAGCAUGUGGUUUAAUUCGAAGCUACGCGAGAACCUUACCAGGUCUUGACAUCUUGCGCACCCUAGAGAUAGGGCGUUUCCUUCGGGAACGCAAUGACAGGUGGUGCAUGGUCGUCGUCAGCUCGUGUCGUGAGAUGUUGGGUUAAGUUCGCA